rnacentral:lncRNA from 1 species
GAUUAGAUGUCAGCUAGCUCUAUUUUUUCUCUGCACACUCAACGUUACAAAAAGGAGAGAAAUAAAUUGAAUUACCAUCACUCUCACUGGACACACGUUAUCCCUCUCUUUUCUCCCACACUCUCUCCACAUCACUACUUCACCUCACUCAUCUCUCAAAACUCCCCUUGACAUUAACUACAAAACCAAAAAAUAAAAAGACACUACCUCUCUAACCCACUACCACUCACUCACUAUCAGUAAGAAAAAACGAAAAAAGACAAAAAUAAAAAAAGAGAAAGAAACUCUCUCUUCCGUCAGAAUCACCUCCAUUCACCACCGCUUUCCACCUCCUAACAAGCUCCGGCGAAACUCCAUAAACCCACAACCAAAUCCAAUCCAAAUUCCGGCGCUCAUUUUUUUUCCGGCAACGAGGUCACCGCACACAACAACCACCUCCGGCCACGAACCAACAACCCCCGCCAUCUUCCGCUGUGAACUCC